rnacentral:tRNA from 2 species
CGGGAAGUGGCGCAGCCUGGUAGCGCACGUCGUUCGGGACGACGGGGUCGGAGGUUCGAAUCCUCUCUUCCCGACCA